CAGCAGCCGCGGGAAUACGUAGGGUGCGAGCGUUAAUCGGAAUUACUGGGCGUAAAGCGUGCGCAGGCGGUUAUAUAAGACAGAUGUGAAAUCCCCGGGCUCAACCUGGGACCUGCAUUUGUGACUGUAUAGCUAGAGUACGGUAGAGGGGGAUGGAAUUCCGCGUGUAGCAGUGAAAUGCGUAGAUAUGCGGAGGAACACCGAUGGCGAAGGCAAUCCCCUGGACCUGUACUGACGCUCAUGCACGAAAGCGUGGGGAACAAACAGGAUUAGAUACCCGGGUAGUCCCUGUCUCUUAUAU
rnacentral:rRNA from 1 species